rnacentral:piRNA from 1 species
GCCUGUUAAAUUUGAGGUGGACGUGGAGA